UACGGGGGGGGCGAGCGUUGUUCGGAAUUACUGGGCGUAAAGGGUUUGUAGGUGGCCUGCUAAGUCAGACGUGAAAUCCCUCAGCUUAACUGGGGAACUGCGUCUGAUACUGGAUGGCUGGAGUUUGGGAGAGGGAUGCGGAAUUCCAGGUGUAGCGGUGGAAUGCGUAGAGAUCCGGAAGAACACCGGUGGCGAAGGCGGCCUGCUGGGCAGUAGCUGACGCUGAGGCGCGACAGCGUGGGGAGCAAACAGG
rnacentral:rRNA from 1 species